GACGAACGCUGGCGGCGUGCCUAAUACAUGCAAGUCGAGCGAAGUUUUUCUGGUUCUUGCACUAGAAAAACUUAGCGGCGAACGGGUGAGUAACACGUAAAGAACCUGCCUCAUAGACUGGGACAACUAUUGGAAACGAUAGCUAAUACCGGAUAACAGCAUUAACUGCAUGGUUUAUGUUUAAAAGUUGGUUUUGCUAACACGAUGAGAUGGCUUUGCGGUGCAUUAGCUAGUUGGUGGGGUAAAGGCCUACCAAGGCGACGAUGCAUAGCCGACCUGAGAGGGUGAUCGGCCACACUGGGACUGAGACACGGCCCAGACUCCUACGGGAGGCAGCAGUAGGGAAUCUUCCGCAAUGGGCGAAAGCCUGACGGAGCCACGCCGCGUGAGUGAAGAAGGAUUUCGGUUCGUAAAGCUCUGUUGUUAGGGAAGAAUGAUUGUGUAGUAACUAUACACAGUAGAGACGGUACCUAACCAGAAAGCAACGGCUAACUACGUG
rnacentral:rRNA from 1 species